ACUGUGAUACUGUGUGCAUGUGUAUGAGAGAGGGAGGGAGGGAGAAAGAGAGAGUGGGAAGAAAGAGGGGCUAUUGUGACAGCUGAAAAAGAGAUUGUGUGACUCAGGACUGUGAUGAAUUAUUAAUUUAACAUAAUCAGUUCUUACAUUGAAUUUCCAGAAUGGGUUCUAUAAGUUUUCAUCUGAGUAGAUUGUCUAUGUACAUAAAAUGUAUAAUUGAAUACACAUUUGUUUUUGAAAUGUAGCUUUAUAUGUACAUCUACAUGUAGUUUAUAGUACCUACAUGGAUGUAAAUUGUUUUUCUAUGAAAAAAAAAUCCAGAUAUUUUCAAUAUUUGACAUAGUAUUCAUAUUUUUUCACUUUUUGAGGACCUGCUGAAUGUAUUUCCUCAAUGCAUUUUUCAGUAUCAGAAUGUACAAUUUCUUUCAGCCUUAAUGGAAAUAUGGAUCAAUAUAAGGUAUCACAUCUGUUUUAGACAAGUAUGUUCUGUGCCCUAAUAGUUGACUCUACAUUCCUUUAACUGGACUUAAAUCUUAGUACAUGUACUGGUAACUUUAAUUUGUAGAAGAAAUGUCCUUGGACAUCACCUUUACCUGCUGUUUGAAACUUUGUUUUGAACAGUCAAAACUGAUUUUAAUAUUAGCAUAUGUUUCAGUGGACAGAGUAUAAAUACAUGUAAAUUUAUUUAUUAAAAUCUG